UUUUUUUUUAUUUUUUAUUUAUGAUAGUCACACAGAGAGAGAGAGAGAGAGAGGCAGAGACACAGGCAGAGGGAGAAGCAGGCUCCAUGCACCGGGAGCCCGACGUGGGAUUCAAUCCCAGGUCUCCAGGAUCGCACCCUGGGCCAAAGGCAGGCGCUAAACUGCUGCGCCACCCAGGGAUCCUGGCUCUGAAGGGUUUUAAUUGAUGUUGCAAUUUCACAUCCACUCCAAUCUAUCCUAUCCCAUAUGCAUAAACCAUAAAUUCUAGUAGUGAAGAAGUAACAAUGUUUUUCAGCCACAGUGGACAUGUCCAAGGAAAAUAUAUUUUAUUUAAUGAAGUUAUUCUAUAUAAUAAUGACAUUCUAUAUAAUGAACAUUCCUACAACUCAAGAAGAAAAGAACAAACAGCCUAAUAGAAAAACGGGGAAAGAAGGUAACAGGCAAUUUAUAAAAAAGGAAACACAAAUGGCCAAUAAACAUAAGAAAAGAUACUCAGCCAAUUAAAAUAAUUACCUAAUUAAAAUAAUAUUGAAUGCCAUUUUUCUCCUGUCAGAUUGACAAAAGGGAAAAGGGCAGAAAAGAACAAAUGUUGCUAGGGUGUUGGAAGUUGUGUACUCUUAUAUACUACUUGCAGGGAUAUUCAUUUAUGCAGCCAUUUUGGUUUUUAAAAUUUUUUAUUUAAAUUCAAUUAACUUAUAAUGUAUUAUUGGAUUCAGAGGUAGAGGUCAGUGAUUCAUCAGUCUUAUGUAACACCCAGUGCUCACUACAUCACGUGCCCUCCUUAAUGCCCAUCACCCAGUUACCCCAUCCCCUCACCCCCGUCCCCUCAAGCGACCCUCAGUUUGUUCCUAUGAUUAAGAAUGUCUUAUGAUUUGUCUCCCUCUCUGAUUUCCUCUUGUUUUUAUUUUUUCCUCCCUUCCCCUAUGAUCCUCUGUUUUGUUUCUUAAAUUCCACAUAUGAGUGAGAUCAUAUGAUAAUUGCGUUUCUCUGAUUGACUUAUUUCACUUAGCAUAAUAGCCUCUAGUUCCAUCCAUGUUAUGCAGCCACUUUGAAGGGCAAUUUGGAAAUUUCUUUUAAAAUUUAAAGCACACACAGAUUGCUGAGAUCAACUAAGGUGUUCAUAUAUCUCCUGAGAAAAUGCUUCCACCCAAGCACAAGGAGAUCCAUUACAACAUCAUUGUGUCUAAACAUUAGAAAUAAUCCAAAUGCCUAUCAUAGGGAAAUAGCUGUAAAUACUGGGGUAUGUUCAUAACAAAAAAUACUAUGCAGCAGCUAAGAAAAUUGAGCUAUUUUUUUACAGACUAAAGCGGAUAUAUUCUUGAAUGAAAAAGGAGACAACUGCAGAAUGAUACAUAUAUAACAACCUUUAUGUUAAAAAAAAUAUAUAUUUAAACAUAAAGGUUGCUUAUGUUAUAUUUUAUAUGGGUUCAUAGAUAUGUCUGGAAAAGGGCUUAGAAAGAUCUUGGAAAGUAUAUGUAAAAACAGUAACAGUGGUAGCUUCUGAGAGGGGGCAGAGAGGAUCAGGGCUGGGGACCACAAACAAAUAUUCAUAAUGUUCUAAUUUCUAUGAGCAUCUCAAUAACCAAUUCUAUUCACGUAUACUUUCAUGAUUUUAAUUUUAAUAAAUGUAGAGAUAGAUUUAAAAACCAACGUCAUAUCCAUUCCCAUGCAAAGUGCUGUGGCUGGUGCUCUGAAUGCAUGACAAGCAAAUCUUGUUAUUAGACACACUAGGCUGAUAUUGCCUUCAAGGAGCUCUCAGGCUGGCAGGGGGGAACAGGUCCAACAUGGUGUGAGAUGAAUUCCUGAAGAGGGGUAGAAAAAUGCAGUCGGAGUCAUGGUGGGGGUAAGGGGUGUCCACAAUAUUUUAGGAACCAGGGAAGUAUUUAUGGCAAUCAAGGAAAGGCAAAGCUGAGAGAACUUCAGGUUCAAAGGUGCAGAGGCGGGAGCUCCAGGAGUCUGUUAGGGAAGACAAGGAAGACAGGAAAAGUUGGGGACUCAUUGUGAAAAGUCACAAAGCUUGAAUAAGAAGCCGGACAGCAGCAGCAGAGUGCCCUGUGAGGUCUGUAAUCACAUGGGAACUUGCCUGAAAGUUUACGGAAAAGAAGUUUGGCAUCCAUGCAGGGAUGGAUUGGCCAGAUCAGGAAGCAAGGGACAAGUUUGGGAGGCUAUUGACUGUCCCAGUGUGAGGUAAGAUUAGCUUUAAGGGAAGAUAAGGGGUCUGGGCAGGGAUGAUCUCAAUGGAGGAGAGAGAUGAACCUGAGAAACUCAUUGGAUUGGUUGAGAAGAGUGGAGGAAGCAUAAAUCAAGUGAUUAUGAGGCCCUGCUUCCACUUCGUGAGAAAUGUCAGGAAUCAGAAGAAAAGCAGGUAAGAGCAGCUUCUUCUCUGAGAUCUGCAGAGAGUUGUUCCAAGUCCUGCCCACAGUACAGGAAUUUCAGUCCCCUUAUUCCCCCACUGGAGCCCAGCUAUGCAGCGCACAAGACAGGUCUGCAUCCUGAGGAUGUACUAGCCAAGGGCAGGCAGGCAGGCACGUAGUCCUUCUGGCUUUCAGCCACCAGACUCACAGGCUUCCAGGAAAAGCUGACAGGGGAUGCUCUGUUCCUUUGAAUCUGAGAAUAUGUGACUGAAGACCUAAAUUAAUUAAGUGAUUCUGAGGCCCCGAGGCCUUCCUGAGGAAGCACACAGGGUGAGUAGUGAGACCAGCAUAAAUGGUACCCCCUCCCCUAGUAUUGGAAUCCAAAGAGGCUUUUGAGCUUCAUUGGAACUAAGCCUGCACUUAAGUGCUUCCAGGGAGACAAAGAAACAAUAAAUCAGGAGCAGGUGCCCCGCCCACACACUGCCACUACCGCUAUCAAC
rnacentral:lncRNA from 1 species